CAGAGAGAGGGCUUGACCGGGUCUCUGACCUUGAGCCCCCGUCUCCCACCAGCCAACACUGCAUUCCUGGAACUUAUGGUUGGUUAUGUUUCUGGGAAAGGCACUGUGAGCUGAAAUGAUGACUGUCUGUAUGCAGAGAAAGGAGAGAUGCAGUUUGCUAAAGAAUGACUUCUCCAAACAAGCAGAAAACAUCCAGCUGCUUAAUCCCACAUCGAAGCCAAACUCAUUUUCAAAUGAGACAGAGAAACUCUUAGAAGCAAAUGUGACAGCCCCUCCCUUCUCAAGAUCAAACAAGUGAAGAGGGAUUCCCCAUCCACACCCUCCAUGGCCCACAGGAUUAAUGUUGUGGAAACGCUGGGACUAUCUGCUGAGUGUAAAUGUGAUACUUCUCUGCACAGUACAUGUGUCAUCCUUCAGGAGUACUGAGUGGUGUCAGCCCACAACCUGUCUACAUCUGGAGUAGGAUACGCCUAAUAGAAGACUCACCAUUUCAACUAUCUUAAGGUGUCCAGUCCAGCGGUGUCCAGUUCACUCACACUGUUGGGCAACCAUCACAACCGUCCAUCUCUAGAACUUUCUCAUCUUCCCAAACUGAAACUGUCCCCAUUAAACAGUAACUCCCUCACCCCGCUUCCCCACCCCCUCUAGAAACCCGUUCUUUCUGUCUCUACAAUCUGACUCCUCUAAGUUCCUCUUCUGAGCAGAAUCCCACAGUAGGUCUCCUCUUGUGACUGGCUGGCUUCACGGAGUAUAGUGACCUCCAGGUUCAUCCAUGUUGCAUCCUGAGUCAGAAUUUCCUUCCUUUUACAGGCUGAAUAAUACUCCAUUGUAAGUACUGUGUUUAUCCAUUCAUUUAUCUACCAUCUACUUUUGUA